rnacentral:tRNA from 1 species
GUUUUAGUAGUUUAAAAAAAACAUUGAUCUUGUAAAUCAAAAAUAAAAGAAAUUUCUAAGACU